AUCCAGGACCUGCUUUCAGCCCUUAUCUUCCAUACAUCAGCUGUUCCCGAGCCAGCGUGCGAGGCCGCCUCACGUGCACACCCUGUGCAGCCCGAGGCAUCAGCCCAAGGGACUAGUUCUCAGGGCCUAGGACCCUGCUCACCCAGUCCUGUCAGCUGGAAGGAGGGCGGAGCCAGGAGGCCUGCAGCCCGGGCCUGUCGCCAGUCCUCUGCGCACCGGGUCUAAGGCGCGGGGAUGGCGCAGUUCCUUCCCAGUCAGCCUGCAGCAGUUGCGAACCUGAUGCCACUCUGCCUUCCUCGCCCCCACGUCCAGCUCUGCCCUCCAAAGCCCUCUAGACUUUCGGAGAUCACUGCCAAGGCCUGAAAAGCUGAGGACAAGAGCCUGGGUGUCUGAAGUCACCUGUUUGCCCUUCAUCUCUGCGGCCCUAACUGAAACCUCAGCUUACACUUUGCUUCUGACAGCUCUGGAUAUACCAGCUGACUCGGUCUUUUAACAACUAAUGAGACCGGUGG
ensembl:lncRNA